CAUGCAGUCGAACGGUAACAGGUCUUCGGAUGCUGACGAGUGGCGAACGGGUGAGUAAUACAUCGGAACGUGCCUAGUAGUGGGGGAUAACUACUCGAAAGAGUAGCUAAUACCGCAUGAGAUCUACGGAUGAAAGCAGGGGACCUUCGGGCCUUGUGCUACUAGAGCGGCUGAUGGCAGAUUAGGUAGUUGGUGGGGUAAAAGCUUACCAAGCCUGCGAUCUGUAGCUGGUCUGAGAGGACGACCAGCCACACUGGGACUGAGACACGGCCCAGACUCCUACGGGAGGCAGCAGUGGGGAAUUUUGGACAAUGGGCGAAAGCCUGAUCCAGCAAUGCCGCGUGCAGGAUGAAGGCCCUCGGGUUGUAAACUGCUUUUGUACGGAACGAAAAGCCUGGGGCUAAUAUCCCCGGGUCAUGACGGUACCGUAAGAAUAAGCACCGGCUAACUACGUGCCAGCAGCCGCGGUAAUACGUAGGGUGCAAGCGUUAAUCGGAAUUACUGGGCGUAAAGCGUGCGCAGGCGGUUUUGUAAGACAGUGGUGAAAUCCCCGGGCUCAACCUGGGAAC
rnacentral:rRNA from 1 species